AGUGAACGCUGGCGGUAGGCCUAACACAUGCAAGUCGAACGGCAGCACAGUAAGAGCUUGCUCUUACGGGUGGCGAGUGGCGGACGGGUGAGGAAUACAUCGGAAUCUACUUUUUCGUGGGGGAUAACGUAGGGAAACUUACGCUAAUACCGCAUACGACCUACGGGUGAAAGCAGGGGAUCUUCGGACCUUGCGCGAUUGAAUGAGCCGAUGUCGGAUUAGCUAGUUGGCGGGGUAAAGGCCCACCAAGGCGACGAUCCGUAGCUGGUCUGAGAGGAUGAUCAGCCACACUGGAACUGAGACACGGUCCAGACUCCUACGGGAGGCAGCAGUGGGGAAUAUUGGACAAUGGGCGCAAGCCUGAUCCAGCCAUACCGCGUGGGUGAAGAAGGCCUUCGGGUUGUAAAGCCCUUUUGUUGGGAAAGAAAAGCAGCAGGUUAAUACCCCGCUGUUUUGACGGUACCCAAAGAAUAAGCACCGGCUAACUUCGU
rnacentral:rRNA from 1 species